UACGGAGGGGGCUAGCGUUGUUCGGAAUUACUGGGCGUAAAGGGCGCGCAGGCGGAGGUGCAAGUCGGGGGUGAAAUCCUAGGGCUCAACCCUGGGACUGCUCUUGAUACUGCAUCUCUAGGGACCGGUAGAGGCCGGUGGAAUUCCCAGUGUAGCGGUGGAAUGCGUAGAUAUUGGGAGGAACACCUGUGGCGAAGGCGGCCGGCUGGGCCGGGUCCGACGCUGAGGCGCGAAAGCGUGGGGAGCAAACAGG
rnacentral:rRNA from 1 species